GAUGAACGCUGGCGGCGUGCCUAAUACAUGCAAGUCGAGCGAAUGGAUUAAGAGCUUGCUCUUAUGAAGUUAGCGGCGGACGGGUGAGUAACACGUGGGUAACCUGCCCAUAAGACUGGGAUAACUCCGGGAAACCGGGGCUAAUACCGGAUAACAUUUUGAACCGCAUGGUUCGAAAUUGAAAGGCGGCUUCGGCUGUCACUUAUGGAUGGACCCGCGUCGCAUUAGCUAGUUGGCGAGGUAACGGCUCACCAAGGCAACGAUGCGUAGCCGACCGUGGAGGGGGUACGGCCACACUGGGACUGAGACACGGCCCAGACUCCUACGGGAGGCAGCAGUAGGGAAUCUUCCGCAAUGGACGAAAGUCUGACGGAGCAACGCCGCGUGAGUGAUGAAGGCUUUCGGGUCGUAAAACUCUGUUGUUAGGGAAGAACAAGUGCUAGUUGAAUAAGCUGGCACCUUGACGGUACCUAACCAGAAAGCCACGGCUAACUACGUGCCAGCCGCCGCCGUAA
rnacentral:rRNA from 1 species